CUCUCUCUGGCAGGGGGCGGGGUUUUCCCCGCACGCCGCGAAAUCUGUGGGUGUAGACCGGGAUCCUGGUUACAGGCGGAGUGGACCGGGGAGGGGCGGGUCGGUCCCGCGGCUGCUGAUCGGGACGAGGGUCCUCCGAGGCUGCGGCUGUCUGACCGAGAGGUGGCCAUUCAUUCGCGCGCCGGAGCGAGGGCCCCUUCGGGGGCUCUUUCGAACCGUGCCCAGGCCUGAAGGAGCGCGGUCCUGCGCUUACCCCGGGCUGCUGCCGACCUUCUCUGAGCGGAGGACGUCGCCCUUCUUCCACCCCGCUGCUCCGGUGCCCGCUGCCAUGGCUUUUCCCCAUCGGCCGGACGCCCCAGAGCUGCCUGACUUCUCCAUGCUCAAGAGGCUGGCCCGAGACCAGCUCAUCUAUCUGCUGGAGCAGCUUCCAGGAAAAAAGGACUUGUUCAUUGAGGCAGAUCUCAUGAGCCCUUUGGAUCGGAUUGCCAAUGUCUCCAUCCUGAAGCAACAUGAAGUCGACAAACUGUACAAAGUGGAGAACAAGCCAGCCCUCAGCUCCAAUGAACAAUUGUGCUUCUUGGUCCGACCCCGCAUCAAGAACAUGCGAUACGUUGCCAGUCUUGUCAAUGCUGACAAAUUGGCGGGCCGAACUCGAAAAUACAAAGUGAUCUUCAGCCCUCAGAAGUUUCAUGCGUGUGAGAUGGUGCUGGAGGAAGAGGGAGUCUAUGGAGAUGUGAGCUGUGACGAAUGGGCCUUUUCUUUGCUGCCUCUUGAUGUGGAUCUGUUGAGCAUGGAGCUCCCAGAAUUUUUCAGGGACUACUUCCUGGAAGGAGAUCAGCGCUGGAUCAACACUGCGGUACAGGCCUUGCACCUUCUGAGCACUCUCUACGGGCCCUUUCCUAACUGCUAUGGAAUUGGCAGAUGCACCAAGAUGUCAUAUGAAUUGUGGAGAAAAUUGGAGGAGGAGGAAGAUGGCGAAACCAAGGGCCGAAGGCCGGAGAUUGGCCAUAUCUUCCUCCUGGACAGAGACGUGGACUUCGUGACGGCCCUUUGCUCCCAGGUGGUUUACGAGGGUCUGGUGGACGACACCUUCCGCAUCAAGUGUGGGAGUGUCGACUUUGGCCCAGAAGUCACAUCCUCUGACAGGAGCUUAAAGGUUCUACUCAAUGCUGAGGACAAGGUGUUUAAUGAGAUUCGUAAUGAGCACUUCUCCAACGUCUUCGGCUUUUUGAGCCAGAAGGCCCGGAACUUGCAAGCUCAGUAUGACCGCCGGAGAGGCAUGGACAUCAAGCAGAUGAAGAACUUCGUGUCCCAGGAGCUCAAAGGACUGAAACAGGAGCACCGCCUGCUGAGUGUCCAUAUCGGGGCCUGUGAAUCCAUCAUGAAGAAGAAGACCAAGCAGGACUUCCAGGAGCUCAUCAAGACUGAGCAUGCACUGCUGGAGGGCUUCAACAUCCGGGAGAGCACCAGCUACAUCGAAGAACACAUAGACCGGCAGGACUCUCUUCCCAUGCAGGUGUCGCCUAUAGAAAGCCUCCGCCUCAUGUGCCUUUUGUCCCUCACUGAGAAUGGUUUGAUUCCCAAGGAUUACCGAUCUCUGAAAACACAGUAUCUGCAGAGCUACGGCCCUGAGCACUUGCUGACCUUCUCCAAUCUGCGGCGAGCGGGGCUCCUCACGGAGCAGGCCCCGGGGGACACCCUCACAGCUGUGGAGAGUAAAGUGAGCAAGCUGGUGACAGACAAGGCCGCAGGAAAGAUUACUGAUGCCUUCAGUUCUCUGGCCAAGAGGAGCAAUUUCCGUGCCAUCAGCAAGAAGCUGAAUUUGAUCCCACGUGUGGAUGGCGAGUAUGAUCUGAAAGUGCCACGGGACAUGGCGUAUGUCUUCAGUGGCGCUUACGUGCCCCUGAGCUGCCGACUCAUCGAGCAGCCGGAUAGGGUCUCAGACUUGAACCCCGGGCCUCCCAGGUGCUGGAACGACGAAGCUGGCAGGGUCUGGACGAAGUGGUGCGGCUACUCAACUGCAGUGAGUUGGCCUUCACAGACAUGACCAAGGAGGACAAGGCUUCCAGCGAGUCGUUGCGCCUCAUCCUGGUGGUGUUCUUGGGUGGUUGCACGUUCUCGGAGAUCUCAGCCCUCCGGUUCCUGGGCAGAGAGAAAGGGUACAGGUUCAUUUUUCUAACAACGGCGGUCACGAACAGCGCUCGCCUUAUGGAAGCCAUGAGUGAGGUAAAAGCCUGACGUUCUCUCUGCUGGUGUUGACGUCUUCCCUGAACACGUUUCCCUACGGGAUGCCCGAAUUUGGUCCCAGCUGCUAACCAAGUGUCUACCAACUACCCUACUAAGAGCCGGGGAGCUCAGAACUGACUCGGGAUUUAGAGAAAUUAUCUGAGGAGAGCGCUCACUUCCGGCCCCCAGGAUAUGUCUCCGUUUUGUGUAUGAAGUACAGCUUGUGCUGAAAAGAUACGAGGAGGAAGAGAUCUCGUUUACUAAGUCCUGAUUGAGUAUCAUUGUAAAUAAAGCCUCUACUCUCCAAUGUCAUGUUUAGUUCUCAA